rnacentral:rRNA from 1 species
UCAGACAGGUGGUGCAUGGUUGUCGUCAGCUCGUGUCGUCACAUGUUGGGUUAAGUCCCGCAACGAGCGCAACCCUUACUGUUAGUUGNUACGCAAGAGCACUCUAGCAGGACCGCCGUUGACAAAACGGAGGAAGGUGGGGAUGAUGUCAAAUCAUCAUGCCCCUUAUGACCUGGGCCUCACACGUACUACAAUGGCCGCCAACAGAGGGAAGCANNNAAANNNGGUGGAGCAAAACCCUAAAAGCGGUCCCAGUUCGGAUUGUAGGCUGCAACCCGCCUGCAUGAAGUUGGAAUUGCUAGUAAUCGCGGAUCAGCAUGCCGCGGUGAAUACGUUCCCGGGCCUUGACAC